rnacentral:rRNA from 1 species
GACGUUUGAUCAUGGCUCAGAUUGAACGCUGGCGGCAUGCCUUACACAUGCAAGUCGAACGGUAACAGGUUAAGCUGACGAGUGGCGAACGGGUGAGUAAUGUAUCGGAACGUGCCCAGUCGUGGGGGAUAACUGCUCGAAAGAGCAGCUAAUACCGCAUACGACCUGAGGGUGAAAGCGGGGGAUCGCAAGACCUCGCGCGAUUGGAGCGGCCGAUAUCAGAUUAGGUAGUUGGUGGGGUAAAGGCUCACCAAGCCAACGAUCUGUAGCUGGUCUGAGAGGACGACCAGCCACACUGGGACUGAGACACGGCCCAGACUCCUACGGGAGGCAGCAGUGGGGAAUUUUGGACAAUGGACGCAAGUCUGAUCCAGCCAUGCCGCGUGCGGGAAGAAGGCCUUCGGGUUGUAAACCGCUUUUGUCAGGGAAGAAAAGGUUCUGGUUAAUACCUGGGACUCAUGACGGUACCUGAAGAAUAAGCACCGGCUAACUACGUGCCAGCAGCCGCGGUAAUACGUAGGGUGCAAGCGUUAAUCGGAAUUACUGGGCGUAAAGCGUGCGCAGGCGGUUAUGCAAGACAGAGGUGAAAUCCCCGGGCUCAACCUGGGAACUGCCUUUGUGACUGCAUAGCUAGAGUACGGUAUAGGGGGAUGGAAUUCC